rnacentral:rRNA from 1 species
UACGUAGGGGGCGAGCGUUGUCCGGAUUUAUUGGGCGUAAAGAGCGUGUAGGCGGCUGGGUAGGUCCGCUGUGAAAACUCGAGGCUUAACCUCGAGACGUCGGUGGAAACCAUCCAGCUAGAGUCCGGAAGAGGAGAGUGGAAUUCCUGGUGUAGCGGUGAAAUGCGCAGAUAUCAGGAAGAACACCCGUGGCGAAAGCGGCUCUCUGGGACGGUACUGACGCUGAGACGCGAAAGCGUGGGGAGCGAACAGG